GAAGCUAUAGCUCAGUGGUAGAGUGCAUGCCUAGCAUGCACAAGGUCCUGGGUUCAAUCCCCAGUACCUCCA
rnacentral:tRNA from 1 species